GGGGGGUUUGUUUAAGAGAAAAUUGGACUGUUAGCAUGUUAGAUACAAAGAACACUGAUCUGAUAUGUUCUUGAACAGUAACAUGGCGAUUGCAGGUUCUUCAGUGGCCACUGGUUGGUACCUAACAUUUUUGUUGCGACUUCAUUAUUUAACAACUUGUAAAAAUGACACAGGAAACCCUUACAUUCCUUCAGGAUUCAGCUGUCAGAAACUCUGGUUUUCAUUAGUGUCUCUGUAAAUUGCAACUUUGGUAAGGGCAUCAGAUAUUCUUUCAACUUUUGACUAAUUGUUUACAUUUUGCAGUCAGGAAUACUAGGUAUUAUGGGCACAGUCAAUGGCAACUAGUGAAGAAGCAGUGUAGUUAUGUUUUUUUGAUAAGUGAAGAAAGUGUAGUAUGUGCAAUGGAGAUUUUAAUAAAUGUGAUUUAAGAUAGUUUAGGCCAUUUUCUGUAAAAUGCCUUCUGCAAAAUCUCUCUCUCUCUCUCUCUCUCUCUCUCUCUCGUAUGUGAAUCAAGAGUAAUAUUAAUACAGAUAUAAACUUGCACCACCACCUCUUAUCUUUCACUAGCCUGUUUUACUCACUCUAGGAGCUUUUCUCAUAAUAUCCUUUCAAAUUUCUUCACGUCACAUGGCUGUUUUAAGAUCUACUGUUCUGGCAUUUUAAUGUCACAUAUCUUUAUCAUUUUCUGGUUCAUUGCAUUUACUAUAUUUUUUUAGUCAGUUUGCUUGUUUUGAGUUGAAACAUUUUCAGAUGCCGAGCUAACAUUAUAGCAUUUGCGGAUUUUAGUUAUCAGAUUUUUCUCUCAGUUUGGACCUUUAGUUCUGAUUCUAAUGAGCUGAAAGUCAUCUCUAUGGUUUUAACAUACUAUUAUCCUCUCCCAAAGAAGAAAAAGAAUGAAAUAAAUAAAAUGCCAGAACAGUAGAUCUUUUUUUUUAAAAUUAUUUAUUAUUGGUAAGUUACAUAUGCACCCAAUGGGUCUUGAACCCAAAAUGUCUCCAACCAAUUACUAUGGGUGAAGAAAGUGCCAAUGGAUGGAAUUCCUGCUUGAAAAUUUUAAGAUGUCAUUAAGACGUCUGCUUCAGUUACCAUGAUUAAAAGCAUCUGAAGAGAAGAUUUAGUAUAUGUUGAACUCCAUCUCUUAUUGAAAUUUCUUCUCAUUCAUGGUGACAUCCACAACGUGAUGUUUUGUGUUUUUUCUUUACAAUAAUGGCAGGCACUUGAUACCCAUAAGUAUGUUGUCUUGUAACCUUCUCUUAUCUUGGUUAUUUAGUUCAUAAUUGCACUGAUACAAAUAUAUGUGUGCUGUAACUUUGUGUCUUCAUUUGCUUAUUUUACCAUCUUUGCUCGCAUACUCUGAAUUUCCUUACAAGCAUAAUAGUCUAGAAUGCUGAUAUUGAUGGCUUAACUGAACCAUUAGAAUUGCAAUGGUGGUGCUUCUGUUAUGUUUUUUCCCCUUUGCUUUCAAGAUUUCACUUUGUUAACCAUACAUGCAUGUCUCUCUAUGCUUUUCAGUCAUUGCGCAUGACACUGGUCCUUCUGAUAUAUUGCUCAGGAAUAUAUUGUCAUUUCUAAACACAUAAAGAAGGAAUAUGUUGUUUUUCAGUCUGCCUUUUAUAUGUUCGAAAUAUUUUUUAUUUUCUGAACUUGAAGACUAUAUAUGUUCUGAACUGCUGUGCUAUGUUGUGAACUUUUGUAAUUGUUCAUGCUCGGGUGACUCCCCAUCUUUAAGGUUGGCCUCAGCUGUGGUUCUACUUUAACUAACAAUGAUCAUAACUAAAAGUUGUAGUGUUAACUGUUGUCCAGUUCAUUAGUUGGGGUUCUCAUUCAUGCAAUAUAGUCAACAUGACUUAUAUCCUUGCCUGGAAAUUCUAAGCAAAUAUCAGUAAAUGUAGUCUAGAUCAGGGGCAGAUGGAAAUAGUAGUCUUCUUAAAUACAGCUGCUAUUUAAUAAUUCACAUAACUCUAGUUGUAGCUUGUAAGUCCCUGACUAGUGUUGCCCGGAGUGGAUGUUCUGGGAUAUUGGUUAAGCGCCUUUGUUCAUCAAGAGUCAACUUUCAGGUGAAAAUGGAGUGAGUAGGCUGAUGUCAAAUAAAGAGUCUUGUGAGGCUUUUAGAUAUGCCAUAAUUAACAUUGGAAGACCUUUGUUGUCAGUGCUUAGGAUGGUUGAUACUUGAUAGUUAAAUUGAAUUGUGGCUCAGUCUUUUAGUUAAAAAAUUUUUAGUGUUUGUGCGUUCACAAUCGCUUUCACUUGGGCCUUCUGCAAUCUGCAUAUGCUAUUGUUAAAUUACAUCUUAUUUUUUUGUUUUCAGUGAAGAUAAAUUUCAAAGUUGACAAUGGAGGAAGUACCUGCUAUAAAGUUCCCUUAUAAUAAUGCCAAUCAAAAUGGAAACUGAGAAACCCAAAAAACAUCAACUUCACAUAAAUCCACCAAAAUGCACAUUUUAGGUCACCUAUGGUAGUCCUAUGCCCCUCUCAAAUUGAUGACAAUACUACCUAUGUUACAGAGGUGAAAGCACAGACUUUUACAAGAAUAAUACUGAGAAUGACAAGAAACAUCUCAACAAGAAAAUCUGCUGGAAAUUUUGACUUUCUAUUAGACAAAAGCAUUGAUGUUCAAAAAGAAAAAGAAAAAAUCGAAGUUGCAGGUCACUCCAACAAUAUUCCAGGACUCUACAGUAUAUGAUACAGUCAGCAAUCGGCAGUGAGGGAUAAUAUCAUAGUUUCCUUUAUUUCUUUUUAGUAUUACUCAUUAAUCAAGCAUUUAUCGUAUUUCAGUGUUGGCCAAAUAAUGAGAAAAACAAACAGUAUAAUCAUCUAACAUACACACCUAAGACCACAGGGCUUAGAUCUUCUACAAGACUUUGCAAAUUGUGGACGAAAUGAAAGUAAUGAUUACAACCAAUCAGAAGAACAUUUUCAUGCUUCAUUAACUUCCCUUGGAGUUUUCCUUACUUUCCAAUGAGGUGAU